rnacentral:rRNA from 1 species
UGGGGAAUAUUGGACAAUGGGCGCAAGCCUGAUCCAGCCAUGCCGCGUGAGUGAUGAAGGCCUUAGGGUUGUAAAGCUCUUUCGGUGGGGAAGAUAAUGACGGUACCCACAGAAGAAGCCCCGGCUAACUUCGUGCCAGCAGCCGCGGUAAUACGAAGGGGGCUAGCGUUGUUCGGAUUUACUGGGCGUAAAGCGCACGUAGGCGGAUCGUUAAGUGAGGGGUGAAAUCCCAGGGCUCAACCCUGGAACUGCCUUUCAUACUGGCGAUCUCGAGUCCGGAAGAGGUGAGUGGAACUCCUAGUGUAGAGGUGGAAUUCGUAGAUAUUAGGAAGAACACCAGUGGCGAAGGCGGCUCACUGGUCCGGUACUGACGCUGAGGUGCGAAAGCGUGGGGAGCAAACAG